rnacentral:rRNA from 1 species
UACGAAGGGUGCUAGCGUUACUCGGAAUUACUGGGCGUAAAGAGCGCGUAGGCGGCUUGAUAAGUUGGAAGUGAAAUCCCAGAGCUCAACUCUGGAAUUGCUUUCAAAACUAUUUAGCUAGAGAUUGGUAGGGGACAGUGGAAUUCCUAGUGUAGAGGUGAAAUUCGUAGAUAUUAGGAGGAACACCGGUGGCGAAGGCGACUGUCUGGGCCAAAUCUGACGCUGUGGCGCGAAAGCGUGGGGAGCAAACAGG